CCAGACUCCUACGGGAGGCAGCAGUGGGGGAUAUUGCACAAUGGGGGAAACCCUGAUGCAGCGACGCCGCGUGGGUGAAGAAGUAUUUCGGUAUGUAAAGCCCUAUCAGCAGGGAAGAAAGAAGACGGUACCUGACUAAGAAGCCCCGGCUAACUACGUGCCAGCAGCCGCGGUAAUACGUAGGGGGCGAGCGUUAUCCGGAUUCACUGGGUGUAAAGGGAGCGUAGACGGCCGUGCAAGCCAGGAGUGAAAGCCCGGGGCCCAACCCCGGGACUGCUCUUGGAACUGCAUGGCUGGAGUACAGGAGGGGCAGGCGGAAUUCCUAGUGUAGCGGUGAAAUGCGUAGAGAUCGGGAGGAACACCAGUGGCGAAGGCGGCCUGCUGGGCUCUAACUGACGCUGAGGCACGAAAGCGUGGGUAGCAAACAGGAUUAGAUACCCUCGUACU
rnacentral:rRNA from 1 species